UUUUGAAACUCUAGCAGCAUGCAUCUUAUUUCCUGCAAAUGCAAAUCUAAUGAAUCUAUAUGCAGAUGCAUUUAAGCACGUUGAAUUGACAGACGGAUUAUGUGCCUUGUUUGAAAAUGCCACUUUCCAAGUGAUCGAUCGAUGGAUUGGUUGCACUUGAACUCUCUAAAGCUAUAAAAUUUUGGAAGAAACCUGUACACCUUCACAGGUACAAACACUUGUAAUCGGUAACCCUGCAUGCUCUCUGCCAUUGGAUGCAAUGCAGCUCUAAGAACCUGGUUCUACUUAUCCUAAUUGAUGAUGAUACAUUACUCUUAAAUUAGUGUGCCCGUUAUAACACCACUAUUUCUGGCUACUUUUUGCUGUGGCAUGUUGAAGCUGCCACGUGAGAUCAGUAGUUAUCCUUCUGAGUUAGCCAGUCCCAGUCAUGAUCAAAUUCUGUACCAUCAUCAGAUAUGUGUUUUCUCUUAGUUUAUAUCAUCUGGACCAGGACUGUUAGCCCCCACAUACUGAGUCUGCCCCACAAGCAACUUUAUGAAUCGGAGUGACUGAAAGAAGAGAAGAGGGCUUUUAAGUUCACAGAGAAAGAUAACAUAACAAAGCCAUCCUUGAUUAGAACAAAUAUCUUUCUAAGAUAGCUGUUAUAGUCUUAAUGGUUAAAAUAUGUCCACAAAAUAUUUUAAAAUUUAUAAAUAAUUGAGGGAACUCAUGAAGGACUGAUGCAUUCCUCCAUAAUUGUACUACUGAUUGAUUGAUGUGUUUCCUAUGAUUUAUUUACAUGAUACUACUUUUCUGGUAAAUCAAAGCAAUUGCAGGAGGCAGAUCAAAUAUAAUUGGGUCAUAUACUUUGAUGUAUAAUAUACAUUUUGAUGAUCCUCGGGUAUCUCAUUCUACCAAAUUGUGGCUUGAGAAUAGAACUCCAUUCCAAGUCCCAAGAUUGAGGAGGCAGUGCUGGUGGGAAGGACAUGAAGUGGGACUAGUGAUCAAGUGUUGAAUCCUGUUCAAACUUUGGUUAAUGUGUGGAUGAAAAUGGUUAUGUCUCCUGUACAACUUAACAUAUGUCUGUUGCAGCAUUCUCUCUCUCUAUGUUUGAGAACCUAUUUGGAGCUCUUAGGUCGAUAAGUCAAAAAAUGGCUUUGAAAAGAGCAAUUUAGAAAAAAUUGUUUAAUUAUUUUAGAGUUUUUAUACUAAAUCAUGUCAAAUUUUAUUUUAAAGCAAUUUUUAAUACAUCUAACCAAUAUAUUUAAACCAAUAUAUUUAGAAGCUAUUUUUUUUCAAUAAUAACUUCCACAGCAGUACCAAACAGAUCAUAAAUCCUGGAUCAGCACGGCAGGAACAGAACUCAGAAGCCAUACCAUGUGUAAUGUAUUAGGCUUCCAUUUCCAUGUUAUGAAUUUUGAUCAUAUACUAAAUACGUAGGGUCAGGUAUUUUUUUUUUUUUUUUGUGCCAUCAGGUUAUUGGUAGCUAACAUGAAAAUAGGAUAACAGCUUGUGGACAGUUCCCAGCUCCAAACAUACUCUGCGGCAGACAAUAAGAAGGCACUUUCAUCUUCGCUUUACCUUUUCUCUAUCAUACAGUCUGGAUGCACAGAUUUCCACAGUGAUAUGAGUCCUUGUUGUACCCAUCAAGCUUGUGGAAUAGGCUUUCUCCAUCCGUUGAACAGAGGACUUUGGGACAAAUCAGCUGAGAAUAUCAAGCAAACAGAAAGGGUCAAGCAGGUGGUGAAUAUAUGGUGAUGAAGAUGAUGUUGGUACUCCUGGACAACUGAAUCUCAACAAAAAUUGAAGGUGGUAUCAUCAUCAGCUUCAGUUGUGGUUGGAAAAAGACCUUGAUUUGAAGCGUAACACGUGUAUGACAAUUAAUGGCCAACUAUGGGCGUAUUAUAGAUAGAUCAUGGCUUGACAGUGACAGGCCCUUAUCAACCUCUAGUUGGAAAAUAACCUGAGACAACCCAUGCUAUAUCAACAGGGUGCUUCUUUUCUAUUUGGACUUCAAUUCUCGGGCAGGGCCUGCUCAUAUUAUCCUGGAAUGUUGCCUCAUCGCACCUCAACAUUCAUAUAGUUCUCAGCACAAUAAUGCAAGGUAGAGAAUGACCUUUCUCAGAUUUUGAUUCUGAAAUCAAUCCAGAGUUUGCAUCCUUAAGCUUGUGUAAAAAUUCUGUCAACAUGUUUCAUAUGAUUUUGCUACAAACUUUGUUUUAUAAUGUUCAUUUUUAAAAAGACCAGUUCUUUGAUUUGGA